ensembl:lncRNA
GGCUGCCUGGGCAGAAGCAGGAACUCGGGGCCAAGUGACCAAGGGAAUGCAUUCCAACCUCCACCCCAGGCAAUCUCAGAAAUCCUGAGGAAUACUCUGGACUUUCCACAACAUGGGGGAAGGAAGGAGCCACUCUUAUCCCGCCACUGAGAGGUGGAGUGACUCAGCUACCCAGCAGCCUCCUUUCUGGAGAAAUGUUCCCUGCGGUGUCAAAGGUCCAGAGUGUAAAAUCCAAGAGGUAUACAGCAAGCUAAAGAGGCUCGAACGUGAAAGUGCCCCUGGAAAAACUGGCCAUUGCUCUCAUUUUGCGGAUGGGGAACAGAGGCACAGAGAGGAGAGGCUAUUUGCACAGGACAGUUCGGCACAGAACCAGGAGCACAGCCCUGGCCCACUGACAUCACGACAAGUUUCAGAAUGUUCUACAAAUGGAAGGAGUCGUAUCCAUCGCUGCAUAGCUGAUCUGUGGGAGGAAGACUGCCCAGCCCCCACCACUACAGGCUCUUUGGCUUCAUGAUUGUAAGAUUAUAACGACCCCGCAUCCGUGGACACUUCUAAUUUCCAAUAUCCAGCGCUUCAGCCGGGUGAUGGGUCACGAUUUGGGGAUGUGAAAAUGUGGUCCUUUCGUGUAAUGUCCAGCCAGAGCCCUUGCUGGAACAGUGACCAUGUCAGCAGCCACUGCAGGUGCCAGGAUGGUCCUUGUGAAACUUGGGAUGUGCCUGUGUGCCAGUGAAGUGUGAGGGUGCCCCCAUCUGAUACCCCUGUCCACCCGCCCCUAGUCCUGGGUGGUGGGAGAAAUGCCGGGUCCGGCCUCAGCGGGGCACCAAGUGCCAUCCCAGGAGCAAAGGCAAAGUCCAGAGACAGCUUUCGACCCGAUGGCCAGGGCAGGCAUGUGAGAGAUAAGGGUCACACUUUGGACUCAGCCAGAGAACCCGGGCCCCUGUACCCCUUCUACUGGCAGUCCCACUCCGCUGCCCAGUUAAAGGAGGAAGACAAGGCUGGGGGAGGAGGGGAUAGCCGGCCACUCGCUGCACCUGAAAGCCAGGUGGGCGCCAAAGAUCACUCGGUCCUUACCCUCACCACCGCCUGCCGCGACGCCCAGCCUCGCAUUUAUGCCUCAUUACUCUGGCGCCUCGCAGGGGUCUGGCCGGGAGAGCAGGGCCGGAGGGUGGCGCGCGGUUCCAAGUUGCGCACAGUCCGGGUAGCUGGUGAGUUCGGGUGCGAAGGAGGGAGGGGAGGGGGGGGGGGGCUGCGCAGUGAGCUCUCCUGGCCCGGGGAGAGGUGGCUGCGUCCCUGGCACGACACCCUGCGUCCCCGGGGCCCCACGGGUGCCCUCGCGGCACAGCCGGUCCAGAGCCCGCGGUGAGAGGGCGGUGCCAGCCCGCGUCCCCGCCCCUCUCCCUCCACCUUCCCUCCCAGCCCGGCCCUGUGCUGCCCGGGUCCCGCGGGCCGCUCGGUCCCAGACCCAGGCCUGGCUGCGGGGCUGGCAUUGCCGGAGCAGCCGUCUGGCGACCGGGAGCCCCGCGGGCGGGGGGCCGGCGGCGCGGGCGGCGGGCGCCGGGACACCUGCGGGCACAGGUGAGCGGCUGCGAGCCGGACGGACGGGGGCGGGGGGGCGGGGGGCGAGGCUGGCGGCGCGGGGGCGAGAAGGGAAGGGAAGCCCGCGUCAGAGCUCGAAAAGGUCCGGGGGUAGGAAGAGGGAGAGAGAGAGACAGGCAGCCCUUGAAGAGGUGAUUGUUGGGAGGGGACCUGGGGGACAAUGAACGUUUUCCUCCCUUGCUCAUAAACCGGAGAAAAGUAAGGAGCUGAGCAGGGGCCUCAGGCCCAUCUGGAGGGGCACAAGCAGCUACUUAGAAGGCCUCUGCUCUCCAGGCCCUGCCCACUCGAAGGGUAGGUCCUCUAUCCAGGUUUACGGGGAAGUGAUGGACCCCCCCCCCCCCCGACCUGGCUCCGGGCUCGGCUCUCUGGAGGUGUUCCCAGAGGCUGGGGAGCACCAAACAUACCCUCCUGCCCCUUGCCUCUGUCUGUAAGCCCAGCGGCCUGCUAGCUGUCUUCCCUCACCUCCCUGUCUGUGGCCAGGAGGGUCCAGUCAGGGGUAGGCAAACUUUGAAUAAAGGGCCAGAGAGUAAGUAUGUCA